rnacentral:rRNA from 1 species
UUGAACGCUGGCGGCAGGCCUAACACAUGCAAGUCGAACGGUAACAGGAAACAGCUUGCUGUUUCGCUGACGAGUGGCGGACGGGUGAGUAAUGUCUGGGAAACUGCCUGAUGGAGGGGGAUAACUACUGGAAACGGUAGCUAAUACCGCAUAACGUCGCAAGACCAAAGAGGGGGACCUUCGGGCCUCUUGCCAUCGGAUGUGCCCAGAUGGGAUUAGCUAGUAGGUGGGGUAACGGCUCACCUAGGCGACGAUCCCUAGCUGGUCUGAGAGGAUGACCAGCCACACUGGAACUGAGACACGGUCCAGACUCCUACGGGAGGCAGCAGUGGGGAAUAUUGCACAAUGGGCGCAAGCCUGAUGCAGCCAUGCCGCGUGUAUGAAGAAGGCCUUCGGGUUGUAAAGUACUUUCAGCGGGGAGGAAGGGAGUAAAGUUAAUACCUUUGCUCAUUGACGUUACCCGCAGAAGAAGCACCGGCUAACUCCGUGCCAGCAGCCGCGGUAAUACGGAGGGUGCAAGCGUUAAUCGGAAUUACUGGGCGUAAAGCGCACGCAGGCGGUUUGUUAAGUCAGAUGUGAAAUCCCCGGGCUCAACCUGGGAACUGCAUCUGAUACUGGCAAGCUUGAGUCUCGUAGAGGGGGGUAGAAUUCCAGGUGUAGCGGUGAAAUGCGUAGAGAUCUGGAGGAAUACCGGUGGCGAAGGCGGCCCCCUGGACGAAGACUGACGCUCAGGUGCGAAAGCGUGGGGAGCAAACAGGAUUAGAUACCCUGGUAGUCCACGCCGUAAACGAUGUCGACUUGGAGGUUGUGCCCUUGAGGCGUGGCUUCCGGAGCUAACGCGUUAAGUCGACCGCCUGGGGAGUACGGCCGCAAGGUUAAAACUCAAAUGAAUUGACGGGGGCCCGCACAAGCGGUGGAGCAUGUGGUUUAAUUCGAUGCAACGCGAAGAACCUUACCUGGUCUUGACAUCCACGGAAGUUUUCAGAGAUGAGAAUGUGCCUUCGGGAACCGUGAGACAGGUGCUGCAUGGCUGUCGUCAGCUCGUGUUGUGAAAUGUUGGGUUAAGUCCCGCAACGAGCGCAACCCUUAUCCUUUGUUGCCAGCGGUCCGGCCGGGAACUCAAAGGAGACUGCCAGUGAUAAACUGGAGGAAGGUGAGGAUGACGUCAAGUCAUCAUGGCCCUUACGACCAGGGCUACACACGUGCUACAAUGGCGCAUACAAAGAGAAGCGACCUCGCGAGAGCAAGCGGACCUCAUAAAGUGCGUCGUAGUCCGGAUUGGAGUCUGCAACUCGACUCCAUGAAGUCGGAAUCGCUAGUAAUCGUGGAUCAGAAUGCCACGGUGAAUACGUUCCCGGGCCUUGUACACACCGCCCGUCACACCAUGGGAGUGGGUUGCAAAAGAAGUAGGUAGCUUAACCUUCGGGAGGGCGCUUACCACUUUGUGAUUCAUGACUGGGGUG